rnacentral:rRNA from 1 species
GAUGAACGCUGGCGGCGUGCUUAACACAUGCAAGUCGAACGAAGCACUUUAUUUGAUUUCCUUCGGGACUGAUUAUUUUGUGACUGAGUGGCGGACGGGUGAGUAACGCGUGGGUAACCUGCCUUGUACAGGGGGAUAACAGUUGGAAACGGCUGCUAAUACCGCAUAAGCACACAGCAUCGCAUGAUGCAGUGUGAAAAACUCCGGUGGUAUAAGAUGGACCCGCGUUGGAUUAGCUAGUUGGUGAGGUAACGGCCCACCAAGGCGACGAUCCAUAGCCGACCUGAGAGGGUGACCGGCCACAUUGGGACUGAGACACGGCCCAAACUCCUACGGGAGGCAGCAGUGGGGAAUAUUGCACAAUGGGCGAAAGCCUGAUGCAGCGACGCCGCGUGAGCGAAGAAGUAUUUCGGUAUGUAAAGCUCUAUCAGCAGGGAAGAUAAUGACGGUACCUGACUAAGAAGCACCGGCUAAAUACGUGCCAGCAGCCGCGGUAAUACGUAUGGUGCAAGCGUUAUCCGGAUUUACUGGGUGUAAAGGGAGCGCAGGCGGUGCGGCAAGUCUGAUGUGAAAGCCCGGGGCUCAACCCCGGUACUGCAUUGGAAACUGUCGUACUAGAGUGUCGGAGGGGUAAGCGGAAUUCCUAGUGUAGCGGUGAAAUGCGUAGAUAUUAGGAGGAACACCAGUGGCGAAGGCGGCUUACUGGACGAUAACUGACGCUGAGGCUCGAAAGCGUGGGGAGCAAACAGGAUUAGAUACCCUGGUAGUCCACGCCGUAA